rnacentral:rRNA from 1 species
AGAGUUUGAUCCUGGCUCAGGAUGAACGCUAGCGGCAGGCUUAACACAUGCAAGUCGAGGGGCAGCGCGGGGCGGCAACGUCCUGGCGGCGACCGGCGGAAGGGUGCGUAACGCGUGAGCGACAUGCCCGUUGCCCGUGGACAACCGGUGGAAACGCCGACUAAUCCACGAUGGGACGAGUUGCUGCAUGGCAGCUCGUUGAAAGUUACGGCGGCGACGGAUUGGCUCGCGUCCGAUUAGCUGGUUGGCGGGGUAACGGCCCACCAAGGCUACGAUCGGUAGGGGUUCUGAGAGGAAGGUCCCCCACAAUGGAACUGAGACACGGUCCAUACUCCUACGGGAGGCAGCAGUGAGGAAUAUUGGUCAAUGGGCGGAAGCCUGAACCAGCCAUGCCGCGUGCGGGAAGGAGGCCCUAUGGGCUGUGAACCGCUUUUGCCUGGGGGCAAUAAGGGCGCCGUGCGCGCCCGAUGAGAGUACCAGGCGAAUAAGCAUCGGCUAACUCCGUGCCAGCAGCCGCGGUAAUACGGGGGAUGCGAGCGUUAUCCGGAUUCAUUGGGUUUAAAGGGUGCGUAGGCUGUGCGUCAAGUCGGGGGUGAAAUUCCGGUGCUCAACACCGGGGCUGCCCUUGAUACUGUCGCGCUGGAGUGCGGAUGCCGCCGGAGGAAUGAGUGGUGUAGCGGUGAAAUGCUUAGAUAUCACUCAGAACACCGAUUGCGAAGGCAUCUGGCGAAUCCGUAACUGACGCUGAGGCACGAAAGCGUGGGGAUAGAACAGGAUUAGAUACCCUGGUAUUCCACGCCGUAAACGAUGAUGGCUAACCGCCGGCGGCAUACAGUCGGUGGCCAAGCGAAAGCGAUAAGCCAUCCACCUGGGGAGUACGUCGGCAACGAUGAAACUCAAAGGAAUUGACGGGGGCCCGCACAAGCGGAGGAACAUGUG